rnacentral:rRNA from 1 species
AUUGAACGCUGGCGGCAGGCCUAACACAUGCAAGUCGAGCGAGCGGCGGACGGGUGAGUAAUGUCUGGGAAACUGCCUGAUGGAGGGGGAUAACUACUGGAAACGGUAGCUAAUACCGCAUACCAUCAGAUGUGCCCAAAUGGGAUUAGCUAGUAGGGUGGGUAACGGCUCACCUAGGCCACGAUCCCUAGCUGGUCUGAGAGGAUGAACAGCCCCACUGGAAGUGAGACACGGUCCAGACUCCUUCGGGAGGCAGCAGGUGGGAAUAUUGCACAAUGGGCGCGAGCCUGAUGCAGCCAUGCCGCGUGUGUGAAGAAGGCCUGCGGGUUGUAAAGCACUUUCAGCGGGGAGGCGUUACCCGCAGAAGAAGCACCGGCUAACUCCGUGCCAGCAGCCGCGGUAAUUC